rnacentral:rRNA from 1 species
GACGAACGCUGGCGGCGCGCUUAACACAUGCAAGUCGAGCGAAGCUGCGGACGGGUGAGUAACACGUGAGUAACCUGCCUUAGACACUGGCAAAGCCUCGGGCAACCGGGAUUAACACCAAAUGGUCUAAGAGGGACGCGCGUCCCAUUAGCUAGUUGGUGGGUAACGGCCCACCAAGGCGACGAUGGGUAUCCCGUCUGAGAGGGGGAACGGCUAUAUUGGACCUUAGCAACGGGCCAACCUUUCGGGGAGGCAGCGGUGGGGAAUAUUGCACAAUGGAGGCAACUUUGAUGCAGCCACACAUCGGGAAUGCGGAAGGCUUUCGAGUAGUAAAGUUCUUUUAUCUGGGAAGCGGUACCAUAUGAAAAAGCCCCGGCGAACUACGUGCCAGCAGCCGCGGUAAUAC